CUAAAACCUUGAAUUUUGUGCUAGUAAAAACACGUUAUACGAUCGAUGUUUACCCGCAUAGAAAUUCGAUGAAAACGAAAAACGACAUGGGAAUAAUAUCAGCUAAAGUUGAACAUUUGAAUGUAAUAAUAAUAAUAAUAUUUACCUACAGCCACCAAAUAACUGCAGUCAAGUUUUUAAAAUGUGAGGUGAAUUUUAUUCGUGCAUCAAUCCCAAAAAUAAAAUAUUGAAUUUGCCGUCUAACUAAAAUCAAAACAAUGAACAGGAUGUAAUCCUCGGAACAUCUGGAUGGAUUGAUGGCGCGUUUGACCCGGUGAGUGGUGACGGGUCUGUUGGUCCGCUUGUAUUCGCGUCACGCGGAAUUCCGCACAUAAAAGGAAAAAAAAAUACAGUCAUAGCUAUUUGUCAUUUCUCUCGGUGGUUGAAAAAUGUAAAGGGACCGUGUGAACAGUGUCUCAAGAAAAACACGCCCGCGACCACUGCGCGAACUCAACCCGCAUUAUAAUAUUGUUAUAACUUAUAAUAAUAAUGUUUUAUUAUUAUACAAGUAUGCCGUUGGGGGUUUGUGUGCACGAUUGGUGGAGGAGGGUUGGCAGAGGGCGCAGAAUUCGUAGUCAUUCCGACGUACUUGGAAUUUC